rnacentral:rRNA from 1 species
AAUUGACGGGACCCGCACAAGCGGUGGAUGAUGUGGAUUAAUUCGAUGCAACGCGAAAACCUUACCCACCUUUGACAUGUACGGAAUCCUUUAGAGAUAGAGGAGUGCUCGAAAGAGAGCCGUAACACAGGUGCUGCAUGGCUGUCGUCAGCUCGUGUCGUGAGAUGUUGGGUUAAGUCCCGCAACGAGCGCAACCCUUGUCAUUAGUUGCUACGAAAGGGCACUCUAAUGAGACUGCCGGUGACAAACCGGAGGAAGGUGGGGAUGACGUCAAGUCCUCAUGGCCCUUAUAGGUGGGGCUACACACGUCAUACAAUGGCUGGUACAAAGGGUUGCCAACCCGCGAGGGGGAGCCAAUCCCAUAAAGCCAGUCGUAGUCCGGAUCGCAGUCUGCAACUCGACUGCGUGAAGUCGGAAUCGCUAGUAAUCGUGGAUCAGCAUGUCACGGUGAAUACGUUCCCGGGCCUU